rnacentral:rRNA from 1 species
GACGAACGCUGGCGGCGUGCUUAACACAUGCAAGUCGAACGGUGAAGCGCCUUCCUUUUUGGUGGGUGUGGAUGAGUGGCGAACGGGUGAGUAACACGUGAGUAACCUGCCCCCUUCUUCUGGAUAACCGCAUGAAAGUGUGGCUAAUACGGGAUAUUCUGGGUCUGUCGCAUGAUGGGUCUGGGAAAGAUAUUGUUUCGGUGGGGGAUGGGCUCGCGGCCUAUCAGCUUGUUGGUGGGGUGAUGGCCUACCAAGGCGGUGACGGGUAGCCGGCCUGAGAGGGUGAACGGUCACACGGGGACUGAGACACGGCCCAGACUCCUACGGGAGGCAGCAGUGGGGAAUAUUGCACAAUGGGCGCAAGCCUGAUGCAGCGACGCCGCGUGAGGGAUGGAGGCCUUCGGGUUGUGAACCUCUUUCGCCAGUGAAGCAGGCCUGCCUCGUUUGUGGGUGGGUUGACGGUAGCUGGAUAAGAAGCGCCGGCUAACUACGUG